rnacentral:antisense_RNA from 1 species
CUUGACCGAGCCGAGCCACAGCGGGCGGCCGUGCGGCCGUUCCUGGCCGUACGUGGCCAGCAGCGCCUGCGCCUC